CCUACGGGAGGCAGCAGUAAGGGAUAUUGGUCAAUGGGGGAAACCCUGAACCAGCAACGCCGCGUGAGGGAAGACGGUUUUCGGUAUGUAAACCUCUGUCUUCUGUGAAGAUGAUGACGGUAGCUGAGGAGGAAGCUCCGGCUAACUACGUGCCAGCAGCCGCGGUAAUACGUAGGGAGCGAGCGUUGUCCGGAUUUACUGGGUGUAAAGGGUGCGUAGGCGGCUUGGCAGUCAGUAGUUAAAGUCAUGGGCUUAACCCAUGAACUGCUAUUGAAACUGUCGAGCUUGAGUGAAGUAGAGGUAGGCGGAAUUCCCGGUGUAGCGGUGAAAUGCGUAGAUAUCAGGAGGAACACCAGUGGCGAAGGCGGCCUACUGGGCUUUAACUGACGCUGAGGCACGAAAGCGUGGGUAGCAAACAGGAUUAGAUACCCUUGUAGUC
rnacentral:rRNA from 1 species